rnacentral:rRNA from 1 species
UACAGAGGGUGCGAGCGUUAAUCGGAAUUACUGGGCGUAAAGCGCACGUAGGUGGCGACGUAAGUCGGGUGUGAAAGCCCCGGGCUCAACCUGGGAAUUGCAUUCGAGACUGCAUUGCUGGAGUACGGAAGAGGAAGGCGGAAUUCCCGGUGUAGCGGUGAAAUGCGUAGAUAUCGGGAGGAACAUCAGUGGCGAAGGCGGCCAUCUGGGACAACACUGACGCUGAAGCACGAAAGCGUGGGGAGCAAACAGG